rnacentral:rRNA from 1 species
UACGGAGGGUGCAAGCGUUAGUCGGAAUUACUGGGCGUAAAGCGCACGCAGGCGGUCUGUCAAGUCGGAUGUGAGAUCCCCGGGCUCAACCUGGGAACUGCAUUCGAAACUGGCAGGCUAGAGUCUUGUAGAGGGGGGUAGAAUUCCAGGUGUAGCGGUGAAAUGCGUAGAGAUCUGGAGGAAUACCGGUGGCGAAGGCGGCCCCCUGGACAAAGACUGACGCUCAGGUGCGAAAGCGUGGGGAGCAAACAGG